rnacentral:rRNA from 1 species
AUUGAACGCUGGCGGCAGGCCUAACACAUGCAAGUCGAGCGGAGCGGCGGACGGGUGAGUAAUGCCUAGGAAUCUGACUGGUAGUGGGGGAUAAAGUCCGGAAACGGGAGCUAAUACCGCAUACUAUCAGAUGAGCCUAGGUCGGAUUAGCUAGGUGGUGGGGUAAAGGCCUAACAAGGAGACGAUCCGUAACUGGUCUGAGAGGAUGAUCAGUCACACUGGAACUGAGACACGGUCCAGACUCCGACGCGAGGCAGCAGUGGGGAAGAUUGGACAAUGGGCGAAAUCCUGAUGCAGCCAUGCCGCGUGUGUGAAGAAGGUCUUCGUAUUGUAAAGCACUUUAAGUUGGGAGGCGUUACCAUCAGAAUAAGCACCGGCUAACUUCGUGCCAGCAGCCGCGGUAAUUC